UAUCUCUGUAGAGUCUGCAUAUCAAUAAGCGGAGGAAAAGAAACUAACAAGGAUUCCCUUAGUAACGGCGAGUGAAGCGGGAAGAGCUCAAAUUUGAAAUCUUCAAGGUUCUACCUUGACGAAUUGUAGUUUAAAGAAGUGUUUUCUGUUAGAUGAGUAGCUAAAGGUUCCUUGGAAUGGGACAUCAUAGAGGGUGAGAGUCCCGUAUUUGGUUAUUCAUUCUAGCUUUGUGAUACACUUUCUAAGAGUCGGAUUGUUUGGGAAUGCAGUCCAAAAUGGGUGGUAAAUUUCAUCUAAAGCUAAAUAUUGGCGAGAGACCGAUAGCGAACAAGUACCGUGAGGGAAAGAUGAAAAGAACUUUGAAAAGAGAGGUUAAACAGUACGUGAAAUUGUCAAAAGGGAAGCGUUUGACACCAGUGUUGUUUUUCCGAAAAUCAAUUACGAAUGGCUUGAUUUUGUGUUGUAUUGACCUUAUCAGCUUUCUUCACUUUUUCUCGAGUCUUUCUUAAUGCACUUUUCGGUUAACAAGUCAACAUCAAUUUCUUUUGUUGUAAAAGAGUAUUCGGAAGGUGGCUUUCUUUUCGGAGAAAGUGUUUAUAGCCCUAUACUUCUACAAUCGGAGAGAUUGAGGUCUGCAGCGUAGAUCCCUUCGGGGUUAGAUACACUUGUGCUAAGUUGUAGCUUUUCAUAGACAACUUGUUGACUAUGUUUAGUCAUGCGGCUUACUCGCUUGUGCUAUUUUACCUACGCUUAGGAUGUUGACUGAUAUGUAGUCGUA
rnacentral:rRNA from 1 species